UCACCGAAAUAUUCGCCGUCGCCCAAGAGUGCGAUCCGCAGGUCUUCGCCAUGAGGCCCUUUGCUGAUGACCUCAGCCUGACCGCUGGCCACGAUGAAGAAACGCUGUUUGUCCUUGCCCUCUUCCACGAAGAAUUUAUCAACAUCCACCUCUUUCGUCUCGAACGAACUUACCAGACGGUUCAGUAUCUCGUCGUCGAAUUCAGAGAACAGAGGUAUUGCCUUCAGGUUCUUCGCCGUGAAUGACGGUACACCAUUCACGUACUGGAUGGGCAGGCGGUCGUUCUUACGGAGUUCUACUUUCGUGCGGUUUACGCGGAAAGUACCACCGCUGACUUGUACCCAGGGGAGCAACUUGAGGAGUAAUCUCGGAGUGAUACUGCCCAUCUGCGGGGCGGUCUUGGUGGUUGUUGCCAGUUUUCUAGCGGUAGCAGUG
rnacentral:antisense_RNA from 1 species